rnacentral:rRNA from 1 species
GACGAACGCUGGCGGCGUGCUUAACACAUGCAAGUCGAACGGAAAGGCCCUGCUUUUGUGGGGUGCUCGAGUGGCGAACGGGUGAGUAACACGUGAGUAACCUGCCCUUGACUUUGGGAUAACUUCAGGAAACUGGGGCUAAUACCGGAUAGGAGCUCCUUCUGCAUGGUGGGGGUUGGAAAGUUUCGGCGGUUGGGGAUGGACUCGCGGCUUAUCAGCUUGUUGGUGGGGUAGUGGCUUACCAAGGCUUUGACGGGUAGCCGGCCUGAGAGGGUGACCGGCCAGAUUGGGACUGAGAUACGGCCCAGAAUCCUACGGGAGGCAGAAGUGGGGAAUAUUGCACAAUGGGCGGAAGCCUGAUGCAGCAACGCCGCGUGCGGGAUGACGGCCUUCGGGUUGUAAACCGCUUUCGCCUGUGACGAAGCGUGAGUGACGGUAAUGGGUAAAGAAGCACCGGCUCACUACGUG